rnacentral:rRNA from 1 species
UACAGGGGGUGCAAACGUUGCUCGGAAUCAUUGGGCGUAAAGCGCACGUAGGCGGUCUGUUAUGUCGGAUGUGAAAGCCCUUGGCUUAACUGAGGAAGUGCAUCCGAAACUGGCAGGCUAGAGUACUAAAGAGGGUCGCGGAAUUCCCGGUGUAGAGGUGAAAUUCGUAGAUAUCGGGAGGAACACCGGUGGCGAAGGCGCACACCUGGCCCGAUACUGACGCUGAGGCGCGAAAGCUAGGGUAGCAAACGGG